rnacentral:rRNA from 1 species
UACGGGGGGGGCAAGCGUUGUUCGGAAUUAUUGGGCGUAAAGGGCGCGUAGGCGGCUUUGCAAGUGACGGGUGAAAGCCCUCGGCUUAACCGAGGAACUGCCUGUCAGACUGUGAGGCUUGAGACCGGGAGAGGUGAGUGUAAUUCCCAGUGUAGCGGUGAAAUGCGUAGAUAUUGGGAGGAACACCAGUGGCGAAGGCGGCUCACUGGACCGGAACUGACGCUGAGGCGCGAAAGCGUGGGGAGCAAACAGG